rnacentral:rRNA from 1 species
AUAACUCCGGGAAACCGGGGCUAAUACCGGAUAACAUUUUGAACUGCAUGGUUCGAAAUUGAAAGGCGGCUUCGGCUGUCACUUAUGGAUGGACCCGCGUCGCAUUAGCUAGUUGGUGAGGUAACGGCUCACCAAGGCAACGAUGCGUAGCCGACCUGAGAGGGUGAUCGGCCACACUGGGACUGAGACACGGCCCAGACUCCUACGGGAGGCAGCAGUAGGGAAUCUUCCGCAAUGGACGAAAGUCUGACGGAGCAACGCCGCGUGAGUGAUGAAGGCUUUCGGGUCGUAAAACUCUGUUGUUAGGGAAGAACAAGUGCUAGUUGAAUAAGCUGGCACCUUGACGGUACCUAACCAGAAAGCCACGGCUAACUACGUGCCAGCAGCCGCGGUAAUACGUAGGUGGCAAGCGUUAUCCGGAAUUAUUGGGCGUAAAGCGCGCGCAGGUGGUUUCUUAAGUCUGAUGUGAAAGCCCACGGCUCAACCGUGGAGGGUCAUUGGAAACUGGG